CCUGGCUCAGAUUGAACGCUGGCGGCAUGCCUUACACAUGCAAGUCGAACGCGAAAGUGGGGGCAACCCUGCGAGUAGAGUGGCGAACGGGUGAGUAACACAUCGGAACGUACCCAGGAGUGGGGGACAACCUCGAGAAAUCGAGGCUAAUACCGCAUACGUCCUGAGGGAGAAAGCGGGGGAUUCGCAAGGACCUCGCGCUCAUGGAGCGGCCGAUGUCGGAUUAGCUAGUUGGCGGGGUAAGAGCCCACCAAGGCGACGAUCCGUAGCUGGUUUGAGAGAACGACCAGCCACACUGGGACUGAGACACGGCCCAGACUCCUACGGGAGGCAGCAGUGGGGAAUUUUGGACAAUGGGGGCAACCCUGAUCCAGCCAUGCCGCGUGAGUGAAGAAGGCCUUCGGGUUGUAAAGCUCUUUCGGCCGGAACGAAAUCGGCAACGUGAAUAACGUUG
rnacentral:rRNA from 1 species